rnacentral:rRNA from 1 species
GGGUUGUGAGGUUAAGCGACUAAGCGUACACGGUGGAUGCCCUGGCAGUCAGAGGCGAUGAAGGACGUGCUAAUCUGCGAAAAGCGUCGGUAAGGUGAUAUGAACCGUUAUAACCGGCGAUGUCCGAAUGGGGAAACCCAGUGUGAUUCGUCACACUAUCGUUAACUGAAUACAUAGGUUAACGAGGCGAACCGGGGGAACUGAAACAUCUAAGUACCCCGAGGAAAAGAAAUCAACCGAGAUUCCCCCAGUAGCGGCGAGCGAACGGGGAGCAGCCCAGAGUCUGAAUCAGCUUGUGUGUUAGUGGAACGGUCUGGAAAGUCCGACGGUACAGGGUGAUAGUCCCGUACACCAAAAUGCACAGGUUGUGAACUCGAAGAGUAGGGCGGGACACGUGGUAUCCUGUCUGAAUAUGGGGGGACCAUCCUCCAAGGCUAAAUACUCCUGACUGACCGAUAGUGAACCAGUACCGUGAGGGAAAGGCGAAAAGAACCCCGGCGAGGGGAGUGAAAAAGAACCUGAAACCGUGUACGUACAAGCAGUGGGAGCACCUUCGGGUGUGACUGCGUACCUUUUGUAUAAUGGGUCAGCGACUUAUAUUCUGUAGCAAGGUUAACCGUAUAGGGGAGCCGCAGGGAAACCGAGUCUUAACUGGGCGUUAAGUUGCAGGGUAUAGACCCGAAACCCGGUGAUCUAGCCA